GACCUAUGCGUUUCCUGCUUAUAUGUUCAAGACGACAAUGCCAUAGUGAUGCUUUAUCCAAGUUAUUAUUAUUAACAGAACCAACACACAAUACAUUAUUUCCUAAGUUAUCAACCACAGAUAUUGUUUCAUACACGCCAUCACAAGGUAAUGCUUUAAAAUAAAGAACAUUAUUAAAGAAAGCAUUAAUCGAACCAACUUCAUUAUCAAAUGAAAAGGUGAAACCUUGUUUCUACAAUGCAUGAAAGGAAAUAAUAUUUCUUGCCAUUUCUGGCGAAUAACAACACUUAUUCAAAUCUAAACUAAACCCACUACUUAGCGAUAAAGUAUAAACUCCAAUCUUGGUGACAGGUGAAGCUUUCCUAUUUCCCAUGAUCAAGUUUAUCCUUCCUUGCUCCACAUCCUCACUUCUUCUUAGUCCCUGNCACAGAUAUUGUUUCAUACACGCCAUCACAAGGUAAUGCUUUAAAAUAAAGAACAUUAUUAAAGAAAGCAUUAAUCGAACCAACUUCAUUAUCAAAUGAAAAGGUGAAACCUUGUUUAUACAAUGCAUGAAAGGAAAUAAUAUUUCUUGCCAUUUCUGGCGAAUAACAACAUUUAUUCAAAUCUAAACUAAACCCACUACUUAGCGAUAAAGUAUAAACUCCAAUCUUGGUGACAGGUGAAGCUUUCCUGUUUCCCAUGAUCAAGUUUAUCCUUCCUUGCUCCACAUUCUCACUUCUUCUUAGUCCCUGCAAAUCAGAACAGAUAUGAAUACCACAAC
rnacentral:lncRNA from 1 species